CAGCAGCCGCCACGGUAAAACGUAGGGUGCAAGCGUUAAUCGGAAUUACUGGGCGUAAAGCGUGCGCAGGCGGUUUGUUAAGACAGAUGUGAAAUCCCCGGGCUCAACCUGGGAACUGCAUUUGUGACUGGCAGGCUAGAGUAUGGCAGAGGGGGGUGGAAUUCCGCGUGUAGCAGUGAAAUGCGUAGAUAUGCGGAGGAACACCGAUGGCGAAGGCAGCCCCCUGGGCCAAUACUGACGCUCAUGCACGAAAGCGUGGGGAGCAAACAGGAUUAGAUACCCCUGUAGUCCCUGUCUCUUAUAC
rnacentral:rRNA from 1 species